rnacentral:misc_RNA from 1 species
GAUGAAGAACGCAGUGAAAUGCGAUACGUAAUGUGAAUUGCAAAUUCAGUGAAUCAUCGAGUCUUUGAACGCACAUUGCGCCCCCUGGUAUUCCGGGGGGCAUGCCUGUCCGAGCGUCAUUGCUGCCCUCAAGCACGGCUUGUGUGUUGGGCCUCCGUCCUCCUCCCGGGGGACGGGCCCGAAAGGCAGCGGCGGCACCGCGUCCGGUCCUCGAGCGUAUGGGGCUUCGUCACCCGCUCUUGUAGGCCCGGCCGGCGCUUGCCGACACAUCAAUCUUUUUUCCAGGUUGACCUCGGAUCAGGUAGGGAUACCCGCUGAACUUAAGCAUAUCAAUAAGCGGAGGA